GGGUGGCCCCCCCCAAAAAUGAGGUGUGUGCGGCGUCACUAAACAGGUAAAGGUGGUGCCCCCCCCCCAAAUUAAGGGGGGGUCGAUUUGCAGGUAAAGGAGGUGACCCCCCCAAAAAAAUGAGGUGUGUGAGGCGUCAAUGGACAGGUAAAGGAGGUGCCUCCCCCCCCCCAAAUUAAGGAGGGAUCGGUUUGUAGGUUGAGGGGGGUUGAUCUGCAGGUAAAGGGGAUGACCCCCCCCCAAAUUAGGGGGUCAGUCUGCAGGUAAAAUAGGUGACCCCCCCCUAAAAAAAUAAGUGUGGGGGUGUCAAUGUACAGGUAAAGGAGGUGCCCCCCCCCUUAAAUUAAGGGGGGGUCAAUCUGCAGGUAAAGGGGGUGACCCCCCCUAAAAAAUGAGGUGUGUGUGGGGGUCGAUCUGCAGGUAAAGGGGGUGACCCCCCCCCCAAAAAAAUAAGGGGGGGGUCAAUCUGCAGGUAAAGGGGGUGACCCCCCCAAAAAAUGAGGUGUGUGCGGCAUCACUAAACAGGUAAAGGUAGUGCCCCCCCCCCCCAAAAAAAUAAGGGGGGGGUCGAUCUGCAGGUAAAGGGGGUGACCCCCCCCCAAAUUAAGGGGGCGUCAAUCUGCAGGUAAAGGUCCUGUGCCCCCCCCUAAAUUAAGGGGGGGUCGGUUUGUAGGUUGGGGGGGUCAAUCUACAGGUAAAGGGGGUGACCCCCCCCUAAAAAAAAAUAAAGGGUGUGUGUGGGGGGUCAAUCUGGGUAAGGUAAAGGUGGUGACCCCCUCCCCAAAUUAGGAUGGGGGGGGUUUUUCAAUGUACAGGUGAAGUUGGUGACCCCCCCCCCUCCCCCAAAUUCCUCUGCUUUUGUGGGCGAGGGGUCCCCAAAUUUUUUUAUCCUUUCUUUUCCAGUUGUGUCAUUUUUUUAAGGCGUGAAGGUGGUUUUUUAGUUGGGGGGAGGGGUCUUUUUUUUAGGUGUAAGGUCAUUUUUUAGGGUC